rnacentral:ncRNA from 1 species
UAAAAUUUUGAUCCUAAACUUGCCGCUAUUUUGAGUCAAAAUUAUACAUGCAAGUAUCAGCACACCAGUGAAAAUGCCCUAAACAACCUAAGAAAAAUAAGGAGCUGGUAUCAGGCUCACCCGACCCUCACAGCCCACGACACCUUGCUUUGCCACACCUCCACAGGUUCCCAGCAGUAAUCAACAUUAGGCCAUAAGCGCAAGCUCGACCUAGCUAUGACCCAGCAAGGCCGGUAAACUUCGUGCCAGCAACCGCGGUUAUACGAAGGGCCCAAAAUAACAUUAACGGCGUAAAGCGUGACUAGAACUUCCCGGCCUACUUAAAAAAAAUUAAAAUUUAGUUGUGAAAUACCAGAAUCAAAAGAAGCCCGCCCCACUUAAGAAAAGCACGGAUCUUUAACUCACCAAAACUAAGAAACAAACUAGGAUUAGAUACCCUACUAUGCUUAGUCCUAACCCCAGAUAUUUAUCUAACCAAAUAUGUCCGCCAGAGAACUACAAGUGAAAAACUUAAAACUCAAAGGAUUUGGCGGUGCUCCACCCAACCUAGAGGAGCCUGUCCUAUAAUCGACACCCCCCGAUCUACCCAGCCGCCCUUUGCCACUUACAGCCUAUAUACCGCCGUCGCCAGCCUAUCCUGUGAAGGACGAAAAAUAAGCGCAAUAGUUGUUCAACCACUAAAACGUCAGGUCAAGGCGUAGCUAAUGGGGCGGAAGAGAUGGGCUACACUUUCUACCAAAGAAAAAACGAAGGGCCCUAUGAAACUCAGUACCAGAAGGCGGAUUUAGCAGUAAAACAAGUGAGAGUACUUUUUUAAAAACAGCCCUGGAGCGCGCACACACCGCCCGUCACCCUCCUCAACAACCAUCGCACUAAAACUAUAAAAUCACAAACCACUAGAUGAGGCAAGUCGUAACAUGGUAAGCGCACUGGAAAGUGUGCUUGGAA